rnacentral:rRNA from 1 species
GCCAUGCAUGUCUAAGUAUAAACGAUUUAAUCGUGAAACCGCGAAUGGCUCAUUAUAACAGCUAUAAUUUACUUGAUCUUGACACAAUCCUACUUGGAUAACUGUGGUAAUUCUAGAGCUAAUACAUGCAUUAAAGCUCUGACCUCACGGGAAGAGUGCAUUUAUUAGAACAAAACCAAGCGGCUUCGGCUGUUUCUGGUUGACUCAUAGUAACUGAGCUGAUCGCAUGGUCUUGCACCGGCGACGUGUCUUUCAAGUAUCUGCCGUAUCAACUUUCGAUGGUAGUGUAUCUGACUACCAUGGUGAUCACGCGUAACGGAGAAUAAGGGUUCGGCUCCGGAGAGUUCGCCUGAGAAAUCGCGAACACAUCUAAGGAAGGCAGCAGGCGCGAAAAUUACCCACUCUCAGCACGAGGAGGUAGUGACGAAAAAUAACGAGACCGUUCUCUUAUGAGGCCGGUCAUCGGAAUGGGUACAAUUUAAACCCUUUAACGA